rnacentral:lncRNA from 10 species
UACAACUCCCGGCGUGCUCCCCGGGGCUGAGGCCUGCAACUCCCAUCGGACUCCCGGGGCUCCGACUACAACUCCCGGCGACUCCGCAGGGCGGGGUUUAAGUGCUCCCACCGCCCAGUCCCCGGACCGACUGUCCCACCCGCGACCCAUGCUGGCCCCAGGUUAACGCCUGCAACCCCGGAGGGCCACAAAUCAAAGAUGGAUAAUCACAUAUUCAUACCAUGGGACAUGCCCCUCGGAUGCAUCCUCAAGAAGGGAGAAAAGUUUGAACCCCAAACCCUAAAAAGGAAAAGGCUAAUAUUUUUCUGUAACACAGCUUGGGUUGAAUAAAAUCUCCAGGACCAGUAAUGUUGGCCAGAAAACAGAAGCAUAAAUUUUAAUACAAUCCAUCAACUAGAUUUGUUUUGCUGUCAACAGGGAAAAUGAACAGAAAUCCUUUAUGUACAGGCCUUCGUGGCCCUAAGAAACAACCAUGGCCUUUGUCAGGCUUGUAAAAUGGAUCCAGUGAUGAUAGCGGCCAUUGUCAGGCAGCUGCCACCAGUUGGUUUGGGAGGCCUCUUAUUGGGUUUACCCAGGGCUCAAGCCCCAGAGGAACCAAGGGCAGAGCUUGGGUCAAACCCCACUGCCCCUUCUACCCCUUAAUAUCCAAGUCUUCCAGCCUUGGAUCCUUGCUCUUUCUAGCCAGGGCCACCCUCUGGACACCACCCCCUUAAGUUAUGCCCCUUUCAAGAGGUUAGCAGCCCCAGUGGACCCA